GGGGUUGUAGCUCAGUGCUAGAGUACUCUCCUAGUUCGAAGAGGCUCUGGAUUCAAUUCUCAGCAUCCCCU
rnacentral:tRNA from 1 species